AUUGAACGCUGGCGGCAGGCUUAACACAUGCAAGUCGAGCGAGCGGCGGACGGGUGAGUAAUGUCUGGGAAACUGCCGGAUGGAGGGGGAUAACUACUGGAAAAGGUAGCUAAUACCGCAUACCAUCAGAUGUGCCCAGAUGGGCUUAGCUAGUAUGUGGGGUAAUGGCUCACCUAGGCGACGAUCCCUAGCUGGUCUGAGAGGAUGAACAGCCACACUGGAAUUGAGACACGGUCCAGACGCCUACGGGAGGCAGCAGUGGGUAAUAUUGCAAAAGUGGCGCAAGCCUGAUGCAGCCAUGCCGCGUGUGUGAAGAAGGCCUUCUGGUUGUAAAGCACUUUCAGCGAGGAGGCGUGACUCGCAGAAGAAGCACCGGCUAACUCCGUGCCAGCAGCCGCGGUAAUUG
rnacentral:rRNA from 1 species